AGGGUUUGAUCAUGGCUCAGAACGUACGCUGGCGGCACGCCUAACACAUGCAAGUCGAACGAAGUAGCAAUACUUAGUGGCAGACGGGUGAGUAACAUGUAGGUAUCUGCCCUAUGGCCUGGAAUAACACGAGGAAACUUGUGCUAAUACCGGAUAAGUCUUUACGGAGAAAGCUUUAUGCACCAUUGGAUGAGCCUGCACUUGAUUAGUUUGUUGGUAGGGUAAUGGCCUACCAAGACUGUGAUCAAUAGCUGAUUUGAGAGGAUGAUCAGCCACAUUGGGACUGAGACACGGCCCAAACUCCUACGGGAGGCAGCAGUGGGGAAUCUUGCACAAUGGAGGAAACUCUGAUGCAGCGAUGCCGCGUGAGUGAAGAAGGCCUUUGGGUUGUAAAGCUCUUUCGUCGGGGAAGAAAAUGACUGUACCCGAAUAAGAAGGUCCGGCUAACUUCGUGCCAGCAGCCGCGGUAAUACGAAGGGACCUAGCGUAGUUCGGAAUUACUGGGCCUAAAGAGUUCGUAGGUGGUUGAAAAAGUUGGUGGUGAAAUCCCAGAGCUUAACUCUGGAACUGCCAUCAAAACUUUUCAGCUAGAGUAUGAUAGAGGAAAGCAGAAUUUCUAGUGUAGAGGUGAAAUUCGUAGAUAUUAGAAAGAAUACCAAUUGCGAAGGCAGCUUUCUGGAUCAUUACUGACACUGAGGAACGAAAGCAUGGGUAGCGAAGAGGAUUAGAUACCCUCGUAGUCCAUGCCGUAAACGAUGUGUGUUAGACGUUGGAAAUUUAUUUUCAGUGUCGCAGGGAAACCGAUAAACACACCGCCUGGGGAGUACGACCGCAAGGUUAAAACUCAAAUGAAUUGACGGGGACCCGCACAAGUAGUGGAGCAUGUGGUUUAAUUCGAAGAUACGCGCAGAACCUUACCAACACUUGACAUGUUCGUCGCGACUCUAAGAGAUUAGAGUUUUCGGUUCGGCCGGACGAAACACAGGUGCUGCAUGGCUGUCGUCAGCUCGUGUCGUGAGAUGUUGGGUUAAGUCCCGCAACGAGCGCAACCCUCACUUUUAGUUGCCAUCAUUAAGUUGGGCACUCUGAAAGAACUGCCAGUGAUAAGCUGGAGGAAGGUGGGGAUGACGUCAAGUCCUCAUGGCCCUUACGUGUUGGGCUACACACGUGCUACAAUGGCAUCUACAACAGGAAGCAAAACGGCAACGUUAAGCAAAUCCCGAAAAGAUGCCUCAGUUCGGAUUGCACUCUGCAACUCGAGUGCAUGAAGCUGGAAUUACUAGUAAUCGUGGAUCAGCGUGCCACGGUGAAUGCGUUCCCGGGUCUUGUACACACCGCCCGUCACACCAUGGGAGUUGGUUCUACCUUAAGGCAAGGUUUUAAACCCUUGACCACGGUAUAGUCAGCGACUGGGGUGAAGUCGUAACAAGGUAGCCGUA
rnacentral:rRNA from 1 species